rnacentral:rRNA from 1 species
CAAGUAGAACGCUGAGAACUGGUGCUUGCACCGGUUCAAGGAGUUGCGAACGGGUGAGUAACGCGUAGGUAACCUACCUCAUAGCGGGGGAUAACUAUUGGAAACGAUAGCUAAUACCGCAUAAGAGAGACUAACGCAUGUUAGUAAUUUAAAAGGGGCAAUUGCUCCACUAUGAGAUGGACCUGCGUUGUAUUAGCUAGUUGGUGAGGUAAAGGCUCACCAAGGCGACGAUACAUAGCCGACCUGAGAGGGUGAUCGGCCACACUGGGACUGAGACACGGCCCAGACUCCUACGGGAGGCAGCAGUAGGGAAUCUUCGGCAAUGGGGGCAACCCUGACCGAGCAACGCCGCGUGAGUGAAGAAGGUUUUCGGAUCGUAAAGCUCUGUUGUUAGAGAAGAAUGAUGGUGGGAGUGGAAAAUCCACCAAGUGACGGUAACUAACCAGAAAGGGACGGCUAACUACGUGCCAGCAGCCGCGGUAAUACGUAGGUCCCGAGCGUUGUCCGGAUUUAUGGGGCGUAAAGCGAGCGCAGGCGGUUUCUUUAAGUCUGAAGUUAAAGGCAUUGGCUCAACCAAUGUACGCUAUUGGAAACUGGAGAACUUGAGUGCAGAAGGAGGAGAGUGGAAUUCCAUGUGUAGCGGUGAAAUGCGUAGAUGAUGUGGGAGGAACACCGGGUGGCGAAAGCGGCUCUCUGGUCUGUAACUGACGCUGAGGAUCGAAAGCGUGGGGAGCAAACACGAUUAGAUACCCUGGUAGUCCACGCC